CAGAGUAGAGAGGGAGGGAGGGAAGAGGAGAUCUAAGGUCAGGUUGCCGGGCUCAGGGAGGGCUGGGGAUCGGGGGCGGAUCUAAGGUCAGGUUGCCAGCUCAGGGAGGGCUGGUGGGGUAGGCUGAGCUGGCUGGGGCCUCAGUGAGGUAGGGCUGGCAAGGGGAGCUAGAAUGUUCUGGGCUGGGGGUGGGGGAUAAAGUGAGGGGCAGGGCCACCUGAGAUGAGAUAGGAAGCAUGGGGGAGGUGCAGCUGGGGGGCAGGCAGCCUUAUUUAACACAAGCCAGGGGAGAGAAGUGGGCAGGCGUCCCUGACUUUGUAGCCUGCAAAUGAAAACUUGGGCCUUAGGCUCCACGACAGGAUAGACUCUUGAUGAGGACUGGGCGUCCUUAGGUGGGCGUGGGCUUCCAGGACCCCCCUACUCACAGCCUCCUCAGCCUGCCUCUUGUAAGCCUUCACUUUGGCUUGCAGCUUGUUCACCAGAUCCUGGAGCCUGAGGAUGUUCUUGUGGUCCUCCUCGGCCUGCAAACAUAGCAUCGUGCCACCGCCACCGCAGCUUAUGCCGGGGUCGGAGCAACCUGGAGCUCACGGAGGCUUUGGAGACACCUACCUGGUCUCAAGGGAAAAGCAAGGGGUCCCGGCAACAAAGGAAGCCUUUCGCGAAGGGACAAAAACAAAUACAGAUCAGCUCCCAGAUUCAGAAAGAUGCAAGACUGCCUCUGUACUGGGGGUAGAGUUUUUUCUGCGGAAAAACGUGGGAGGAAGUGCCAGUCACUUGCCCUUUAGGACGGAGCGAGGGAGAAGCUUCCCAGCAUUGCAGCCUGACUGGGUUCAGAGACUGAGAAGUCUGGGACAAACGGGAGCCGGCAGGUGGGAGCUGAAGAGAGACUCUAGACUUUACGUAGGAUGAGCCAUUGUUCACCAAAACAGAGGCUGGUCCAAAAUGUAACUUACAUAAACUACAUAAUGUUAUGAAUGCAAAGUACAUUUCCCCUCACUUAUAUGGAUCUGAAUUCCUAUAAAAACAGGAUGUGACUAUUUGCAAGUGUCUUUAUUCUGCAGCUCCUGAGGCAUGAGUGUUGUAAAGUGUGUGUGUGUGUUGGGAUGGAGGAACCAGUGAAGGAGACCUAGGUGGGCAUAUCGGCAUGUA
rnacentral:lncRNA from 1 species